AGAGAUGAUGCACCAUCUCUGGAAGAUAAUGGACCAUCCGAAUUAGUGACAGAUUGCGUAGAGAUAAGAUGUAGGGUGUUGUGACGCUUGUGUGCCUUCUUGACGAUGUACUUGUACGUGAUGAUGGUGUGGAUUGUACCUUCUGGUUCCUCGUGCGGAUAAUGCUACCACACUGGAAGUCCGACGACACUAAGGGACGUAGCGCCAAGUGACGUCGCAAUCCGACGAUUUGAGAAGGGGCAGAUUCAUGCAGAAGACCGAGUUGAGACAUGUUAUAGAUAUUAGACGUGCGACAUUGCUUGAUGAGUAUAUUUUGGUUAAAAAAAAACAAGGGUUUUUGACAACCGUGAACUUAGAAGGUUGUAAGGUCGUUUAUGGAUGUAGUAUGGGCGGCUUCCAAGUACUGUUGACUGUGACGACGCGUCGGGAAGCGCUUAUACUCUAGGUUCUCAGGUUCUGAGACACUAUCAAUUCCCGGUGAGAUAUGACAGGGUGUUGACGAGCUAAUAAUAACUGGGAAUUUGACGGUGCCUACAACACUAUCACUGGCAAAGGGACGAUGUCGCUAGUGACAAGACAAAUCAUGGAAAGAGGAUGGCUUGUUACUGAUGGAACUCUCAUGCGUAAGUUAAUAUAUUGAGAGUUUUGGAAGGUUACACUAUAGUGAUCAAGUAGUAGAGAUGUGAAUUACGAAACGUGAAUGCCUAACGAGAAAGGUGUCAAAUGACGAGCUGUAUGUGGGUUGUAAGGGCGACUGAUAGAAAUCUCAGGUUGAGAGCAGGUGAUGAAUAAUAAAUACUCUUGUCGAAACCGAGUAUGGUAUUCGAAUUGGGAAUAGAAACAACGUUAAUAAUGUCUUACAGUGGUAGAGAGUCACACAAGGGUGCAGGCAUGGAAUGACAAGAUAAUGGAUGUAUGCAGUUAUAUUCGAGCAAGGAUUCGAGGACGAAUCCUCUUUUAAGGGGGGGUAGACUUGUAACAUCCCAAAUUCUUCCUACCCAAUUUUAUUUUGUGAGAAAUUACCGAAUCUAGUUUGCGAGCACGAGACGAAGCAUGGUUUUAAUCACAACAAAUUUAAUUUGGUGAAACUUGAGGGGGCACUAGGUAAUUUAUAAAACUAUAACAUAUUACUUUAUGGACAUGUUGAUUUAUGGAAGAACUAAAGGGACUUUAUUGUAAAUUCUCAAUUUAUAUAACCAUUCUCCUUUCAUCACGUAAAAAAAAAAUCUAGAGAUCCUCAUCAUCAUCUUUGCGAAACCCUAUUGCGCCGCAACCACCAUCCAAAACAUGUAUCCUUCAUCUCAUUUAACAUGAUCAAGCACGAACCUUGAUUCCUUCGCGACUUCGAAUUCAUCUCAAUAGGCCUGUAUUGUUCCGGUAGCGGUAGCGGAAACAAGAUUGAUCAGGUUAGUUCGUAUGCUUUGAUCUCGUUUCGCUUAAGUCGUUGUAUAAGAGUUCUUGGGGUCGGGUUGUCGGCUGAAAACAAAACCAUGUUGAGACGCGUUAGAUCAGGAUUCCGGGGUUUCGAAGGCUGCCAUCUAAGAGCUCUUGAAGCUUGGUGGGUGUUGAUCUCAAACUACAGUACGGGUACAUAAUCUUUGAAAAACUCACGGUCUUGUCCGAUGGUUGGGUUCGGGAUGAACAAAACGGUUUGUCGGAAUCACGACCCGCACAUGGUAGGGUCACGGCUUGGGUGGUUAAAAGAAACCCGAUUAGAUUUACAUGUUGUUGAUUAUCCUAAAUUAAUCACGACAGGAACUUGAAGCCUUGUUACAUGACAGAACCGAGCCGUGAGUACUGUGUAGUUGGCGAUAUGGCGUGGCUUCUUUGUUAAGGUGCUUGUGGUUAAGGUUUAGGGUGGUAUAGUGGUUGUGAAGUUGUGAUUAUGAAGACAACAUGGAAUUAUAAUUAUAUACCUUGAUACAUGGGGUGUAGGUGUGUGCAUGAUACUUUAUAAAUCAAGUCUAAAGUGGCUCAAGGAUGACAAGACGAUGAUGACUUGAAAAAAACAUAGAAGUUUGUAAUCUCAUGGUGGUUAUAUCGUGCAUGCAUCAGCUAAGUGGAGGUAUGCAGUUUAGGUUUUGAUAUUAUAAUUAACUGUGUUUUUUUAAGCAUGCAUGUAUAUUAGAAAAAAAAAAGAAAAAAAAAGGAAAUGUAUUAGGAAGGUGGGUUACGAAUGGUGGUUUAGGUUAGAGUGUAUAUGAGCAUGAUGCAUGAUGCAUGAUGCUGAUGUUUGGUGAUAACAGCGGUGAUGGUGUUGGUAGAUAGUGAUGAAGUUGAUUGUGUUCGAUGCAUAAAGGAAUAAAUAAUAAAGAAACAAGAACACAACCGAGCACAUAGAUCAAAAGUCUACAGCAACAAAGAAAAGCAAGCAAGCAGGUAACCAGGCAAAUUAAUUAAACAAUCAGACAGACAGACAGGUAGAUGAAGCUAUUCGACGGUUCACAUCCUUGUUUGUUCUAGCUUUUGAUAACUCGAGAAUUACAUUCAGAUUGAUUUCAGGUUAGCUGGAUGCACGAUGACCUCUUGGAUGUUGCAUGAAGCUAUCCAGUAUAUGAAGUUGGCAUUUCUAGUUGAAGACGAUGCUUUAAGAAAUAAAUUUUAAACAUUAAAUUUUGUAUUUUUAGUUUGGAUGUUUCCAUGCUUUGGUAAUUUGACUUAAACGUUUUCCGCUGCG